rnacentral:rRNA from 1 species
AUUGAACGCUGGCGGCAUGCUUUACACAUGCAAGUCGAACGGUAACAGGUUAAGCUGACGAGUGGCGAACGGGUGAGUAAUGCAUCGGAACGUGCCCAAUCGUGGGGGAUAACGCAGCGAAAGCUGCGCUAAUACCGCAUACGAUCUGAGGAUGAAAGCGGGGGACCGUAAGGCCUCGCGCGAUCGGAGCGGCCGAUGUCAGAUUAGGUAGUUGGUGGGGUAAAGGCUCACCAAGCCGACGAUCUGUAGCUGGUCUGAGAGGACGACCAGCCACACUGGGACUGAGACACGGCCCAGACUCCUACGGGAGGCAGCAGUGGGGAAUUUUGGACAAUGGGCGCAAGCCUGAUCCAGCAAUGCCGCGUGCAGGGAGAAGGCCUUCGGGUUGUAAACUGCUUUUGUACGGAGCGAAAAGGCUCUCUCUAAUACAGGGGGCUCAUGACGGUACCGUAAGAAUAAGCACCGGCUAACUACGUGCCAGCCGCCGCGGUAA